GCAAAAAGUCCAAAAUCAGAACUUGUCUUAGGCGCACUAAACGAAGCGAUGUUCGCUGAUCGAGGGUAGAAAUAGAAAUGGAACGGCUCAAGAGUCGAGAAGUAUAGAAUAGGUAUCACCCGAACAGUCGCACACACAUGCGAGCUUCCGCCUUAAACGGUCAUUCCAUGUCAAUUCGGAAAAGUACAAAAAUUAUUCUUCCGACUGCACUGUUGAAAGUACUAUUCGAAUAAUCAUACAAUUUGGUGAUUAUAACAGAUACAUACAGGCUUUAUUCAUAACGUGUGCCAAUUGUUUUACCAAUUGGCCGUGGAAUGACCCAAGUGCGAGCAUGGUUCAAAAGUGUAUGGCUGGUCGCGUUGGGAAAUAAGUGUCCAUACCAUCGCACAAUGUGUCUUAACCGACACCGACGACGAAUGGUAGAACCAACACACGGCAUGAUAGGUAGAUCCCCAUCCAGCAGCACUGGCCGGUCGGUCAGGGUUACUCCGUGUGUGUCGUGUUGUGGUGAAUCUUCUUGCGCGUGUAUACCUUUUUCUAUGCGGGAUUAGGUAAUAAAAAUUCGGCCAAAAGAACGAUGAAGAAAGAGGGCCCCGAAAAUAAAAACAAAAAAAAAACGAUAGAAAGAAGGAGCGGCAUGUUUUGCCGGUUUGAUGAUUGUUGAUGAUGGGAUAAUAAUGACUGAUGUUACGGGGUUAGCGCGGUGAUGACGUUUCAAUUUGAUCGUACUGGUUAAAAAUUAACGGCUUAAACGUUUACCAUUAGCGAGAUUGUGCUGUAAGCGUUUGGAUCAAUGUUUGUUCAGUUCAAAAGCUAUUCAAUAUUCUUAUACAACUAUUCAAUUGCUUAACAUUUGUUAUUAUCAUUGAAGAAGAUUACAUUUAGUAGGUAUUUAUAACGUCUCUUUCUUGGAAUAACGUUCCAAUUGACACAAAUCAUGUUUUUCAGUUAAAGAAACGAUCAAUCGAUCAACGAUCAAAUCUGACUAUACAUGUCAAUAGUUGCUCCUCCGUGAUUGAUUUGAGCUGGUAACAAUUGCACUGAGAUCCAAAUGAAUAAGGGCUGGGGCACUCCAAUUAUUCUCAAAGUGCAAUUUUAGCAGCUCAUGCAUUUUGGAUCAAUAACGGCGCCGGCCACGUCCUAAUAGUCAGUUGGGAAGGGAAAGGAAUGUUAGAGUGUGCUGGUUGUUGCUACUAAAGACCGAGAGCACCUCUGCAUCCCCACAACCAGCACGGACUGGGGUAUUUGUUAGACGGAAAGGAUGGGAGAUCUGGGAGUCACCGUUGGGUCGGUGAUGCGAUCCAUGGAUAGGGGUUAUUUAUAGUGUUCGUAAGGUGAUAGAUUGUGUGGUGAAUAAGGUGAAUAAGGUCAAGCGGCACAGCACGCUUUGGUUGCAUAACUUGUAGGCGUUAUAUACACUGUGCUGUGAGUGGAAGUUGGAAGGGAGGAAAACGACUUUUUUCAAUUCGUUUCUGGUUCUAGCGAUUAGACGUGUGCGCCGAAUAUUCGGCGUGAACUCGGCGUGCAUCGGCGUGGGGCUUCUCAAACAAUUAUUAACAAAGUUAACUACUUUCUAAUGAUUGUAUUACAACAAGUGGACAUCUAGCUAUGUGCUGCUGCAGAAAUUUUCUGGUUUUGGUGAUGGUACCCCUUCUUAGAAGGGAUACGCCGAUCGGCGUGCGGUUUUCACGAUGGCUAUGAACAUAUGAAUAAACAUGAGUUGUAUAUGUAGAGAAGAGAGAAAGUGGAUAGAAAGAUUCAAAGUAGGAUGAAAGGGACGGGCCAGGGAUUGAACCCAUGACCUUCUGCAUACGAAUCAGAAGCGGUAGCCACUAGACCACCAAGCCCGUCAUUACAAAUCAUGUUUUUCAGUUAAGUGUAUUAACUACAGUAGACGUUCGAUAACUGCAACAUAUUUACAUUUCACUUAGCGAAUGAAAUUCGAUAACUGCAACGACUGACAGAUUUCAACAAGUUGUCAAUCGACAUAAAAUAAUCGUGAACGUGAUCCAACUGUUCAUUUGGGCUAACAUGGCACAUUAUUUUGACGUUUGACGGUGCGAUAACUGCAAAUUUGUUGCACUUACCGGACCUGCAGUUAAAAAGCAUUGCAGUUAAACCGUUUGCACCGACCGAACGUCUACUGUAUAAGCUUCUCUACAGUUAUUAUUACUGAGAGCUUUCUCUGUCAAUGACCAUUUUUCAUUUGUAUAUCAUGUGACAGGUACGUGUAACAUCUCCCGAAUUAUGGGAGAUCAAAAGUUUAAAAAUCAUCGCGGAGGGCCUGGGCGAUAACAGAACACAUCUGGUUAGCCCCGAUUAGAGACGGGCAAUCAGAUCCGGUCCGGACCCGUUCAAAAGAUUCGUAUCAGUAAACUGAGUGAGUGAACCGUGGAUCUUUUACAGAGAGAGCCGGAUCACUACACCCUAAAACGAAAGUACACAGCGAAUGAGUAACUUGCGAAAAGACAAAGGAUUUUUCACACUAUUUGCGUACGACUGGAUCAGCACAAAAAAUGUGCUGAUUCGGUGUUACACAGGCAGCCGCAAACAACGCACACGAUCUCUCGCUCUCAGCUCAAGCGGGAGAGCAGUACCGACAGUCUGGAGUCCGGACAGAUCUUAUCCGAACAACUCGAACUCGAACACGAACUCACACAGUAUCACUUCUUUCGUUCGGCUCUUCAGCAGUAUCCAGUAUAGGUUGUUAUGGUGCUGACGCUGGGAGAGAGAUAAUGCGGGUCGGGUAUGUUAAAGCAGAUUAAGUAGAGGUUCCAUUUCCCGACCAUUUUGGUUGUCCCGGGAUUCGGGAUAAAAUUUGUUUCUUGUCCCGGGAAAUCCCGGGAUCCCGGGAAAUUUUUCAAUCUGCUUAAAAACACAUUUUUUGCGAUCAGAAAUAUGUUAUAUGUAUUCAUCAUAAGUAUCAAAUAAAUAAAUGGUUCACAUCAAGUAACUGGUCUUAUCAAUUUGAAUUCGUUCUCUGAAAAUACGACUUCAAGAAGCAAAUGUUUUUGAUGAUUUCAUCGAACAGUGAGGGUCGCUUUUUAGAACGGAUAUAUCCGGAGUUCGAUUUUAAGAUUCGAGGUCAACUUACCAUAUAGCUCAAAAAGUGACAACUCUUUCGCAAUUACUUUCGAAAAUUCAAUCAUUACCGAAUCAGUCUAAAACGGGUUGCCAUAUUACUUUAUAGCCGAUUCCAGUUCUUCGCGCAUGCUCGAUGGUGUUAUGCAUACAAGACAAUCCAGCAUUCAACUCGGCAGCAUCAUUAUCGGUCUGUCUUUGGCAGUCUCGCAACAAUCGAACUCCCAGUUUCUUGAUGAACUUAAUCAUUUGCGUUUUCGAUGAGCUUUCCAGUUCUGCUGGCACUUGCGUUGACGACGGAAGACCUUAAAGGAACUUUAGCGCUGUUAUUAUUUCCUUUUGGCGCCGAUUGUUGAUUCUUUUCAUGAUUGCAUGGAAGAGGUCGUUUCCAACAUUGGAGUUACUUUUUGUAAGCUUCGAAUACAAGAAACUCAAGCUGCCUUCCGUAAACAAUAAUAUAGCAUCUCGUCUUCCCUAUGCUUCCGAAGCAAGUCUGAUUGGCUGAAGAGCUUCCUGAUGAUUUUUUGUAGCUUCAAAAUCAUUGUCCAUAUCCAACAUAAGUCUAGAAAGGCCUAUUUCGAAAAAUUUCUCUUUGAUGCUAUCAAAACCGUAAAUGAAGUGCUCCAGCAUUGUUUCAGUCGAGUUUCAACGAGUUUUGAUGUCCACACACAGUUGAAAUGGUUUAUGUAACAUUUUCGUGAUUUUUUGUUGAGGGCGAUUUUUGAAAAAAAAAAAAUCACGACUCUUCGAAUACGUUUCAGAGAUUCUACAAAUUCAAAUCAAAGCAAAAAAUAUGUGUAGGAAAUGUGCGUCCCGGGAAUCCCGGGAUUUUCGGGACGGUGAAAAAUGUUAUCCCGGGAUUCGGGAAAUCCCGAAUUUUUUAAGAUCCCGGGAUUUUUUGUCCCGGGAUAUCCCGGGUUGGAACCUCUAAGAUUAAGAGAAUGAGUGUCGCUUGCUGUGUGUGAAGUGGGCCCCACACGAGCAUCAAUACUUCAUCAAUAUCGAUACUUUUUGUUGGAAUUUCCGUCAAACUCGUAGUUUUCCCAAUGCAUUUUGAAAAACCUUUGGAUUAAGCCCAAAUUGAUGGAAUGUUCGUCAAAAAGUAGCGAUAUUGAUGAAGUAUUGAUGCACGUGUGGGAUCCCUUGAGAGAAUAAACUGGAUGCAAGCAAUCCCAUUUGGUUCGGUGAAGCUUGGUCAUUCAUUCCAUAACUGAGCCGCUGAUCUGCUCAAAAGAUCCGGUUCACUAAUGUGAUGGAUCCGGUUCGCCUUCCGUUUUGCCCACCUCUAGCCCCGAUAUUCCCAAACUUUUUUUCUAUCAUGGUGCCUUUUCAACUCUUAAAAACUUUUUUUCUAUCAUGGUGCCUUUUCAACUCUUAUUCUCGUUCAAGUCUCAAUUCAAAAAUAUUGAAAUGAUACCGUGACAAACAUCUAGUGCCAUAUUUUCUAAGAAUCCAUGAACCUUUAUAAUAUACCUAUCAAUAGUUAUAUUUAGGAGAUUCUGCGUAAGCCAUGAUUUUCUGCUUAUUGAGAUCGCGACGUUUAAUCAGGAUAAUAAUAAUUAAUCAGCGGUUUACGCUGUUAAGUGAAUCCCCCUAUUGAUUUUACCAAACAACCAUAAAUUGGUCAUACAGUGAAUGAUAUAGUUAAAUCUUGUUUAUAGCUACACUCUAAAGAAUUUUCACGUCUGAUUUACGUGACAUAUUACGUAGCUCAUCAUUAUGUAUUCUCAAAACCUCAAAAGUUACAUGAUGUCAGUAACUGUCACUCGAAAACCAUGUCGUGUGCAUCGCCCUGUUUGGUUAAACCCACCUUAUUUUCAAAAAUCGUUUCAAUGCGUUGUCCAGCUACCUGACAUUCCAGCGAAGGUUACGAGAAAAAUAUGGUGGACGAAAACUACCUAUCUUUUCACGUAGAUCGGACGUGAAAACUUUUCAGAGCGUAUGGUAUCACGUUCUAAAAUUUUCUGUUUUUUUUUUCGAUUAUUAAAAAAAAUGGCGGUUUAAUAAUAUUUUGUACAAAAUUACCCGAAAAACAAUGAACGAUUAUCCAGUGGCUUAUUUUCAGAAGUUAACGCAACCAAAUAGUUGCAGAUAGUACGUAAACCUAUGUUCGGCAUUAUAGAGCGGAUUACAAUAAUAUCGAAACUUUUUCUAUUAUCCCAUCAGGGGUGCUCAUCUUGCCCCACUAUAGGGAAAUAACUAAAAUUGAAUAAAUUUCAAUGUUUGUUUCAAGAAGACAUUUUGUAAUUCAAGUUAAAAUGCUUUGCAGUAAGCUAGUAAUGUUGGCUGAUAACCAGAAUUAUGGAAACAAUUUGAUGCUGACAUAAAAACCUUAUUUUAUUCUGAUGAUUUCUUAUAAGAAAAUGCAAAAAAUCCAUGCUAUUGACUAAUUUGACGAUAUUUUUUAAUUUCUUCCUUAUGAGGUACCUUUUACCAGGUUUACAAACAGGAUGAACUUUAUUCUAACGGAUCUUGAAGUUGUUUGGACAAAAUUUAUCAUAAAAGUAGUAAAAUAGAGGGUUGCCCAUCUUGCCCCGUCCUACCCUAACAUUUGUUUCUAAAGAUCUAUGACUGUGAAGGAAAAUUUGCCUUUUGUCUACUUUACAUUAUUGAAAAACAGGCACAUUAAACUGGAAUGGACUAGUUGAGGGCUGGGUGAAAAAUAAACUAUUCAUAAUCGCAGUUCAACUUGAUUAUUGUAGGCUUUCUGCAAGCGAGUUGCCUCCAGUCUAUACAGUAUCUAAAUUAUGUUUAUUGAAAGAUUGUACACUUUAUCAUUUCGAUUAAUUUUGACCUACCAAGGGUCUGUCCACAAACUACGUAGACUCUGAGGGGAACGGGAGGUCUGGCCGAUUGUCUCCUCACAUUGAACGAUGGUCAAAACAAUCGUCUUUUGAUUUGUACUGCAAAAAUAGUUGAAAAGUGUACCAUUACAUUGCAAUAAUUGAAAGAGAAAGUGAACAAAGAGAGCCUCUCUAAUGCAGAUAGGACCUAUUGAAAUGUUUGGCCCGAUAUAGCAUAUUAAUAAAUAUCUCAGCCGUCUGUCAACCGAUUUUGGUUCUCUUAGCACCAAAUGAAAGCUACAACAUCCUAGUAAAAUGCUCUGAAAUUUUAUUUCGAUUGGACAUUUGGUUAUUGAGAUACCUUUCGAAGAGUACUUAGGAGUUAUACAACUAUCCCUUUCGUGACGGAGCUCAAAAAAGUGAAAUUUCCAUACAAAUUGCUCAAAUUUGGCUCUCCAGAACUCUCAGACUUUUUAACAUAUCAACAUUUUUUCUUUGGCAUUCGCUAGAACGUUCUACUACUCCUUGUCUUUCCGUAGUGUACUUGUAGUGGUCAAUUUCACACACAACAUAAACAAAAGUUUAUUUGCACACAUGCAAGCACAAGUAAUGGCUCAAUUAUCAAAACAAUUUACAUCAGGUAAACCAAAUAAACAGUUGAAAAAAAUACACAAAACUGUUAUUGCUCAACAGCACAAUUGUGCUGGUUCGUCACGAAAGGGAUAUUAAAUAUCUCAGCCGCCUGUUAACCGAUUUUGGUUCUCUUGGCACCAAAUGAAAGCUACAACAUCCUAGUAAAUCACCCUGAAAUUUUAUUUCGAUUGGACAUUUGGUUACAGAGAUAUAGUUUAUUACAAAUAAACAGGAAUUCUAUGAAAACUAACAAUACGUUAAAUAAAAGCUUUGAAUUUAUAUAUUGAGCAUGAGCAUGAGCAUGGAUGACCGCACAAUUCGGAGUUGCUACACCGUGAUUGACCAGAGCAAUCGAAAUUGCACAAGGAACCAAUGAAUAGGGCUUGGGAUUAGCUUACUAUUCUCAAUGUACACAGUUCGAGAGCUCUAUACUUUAGUAAGGUCAAUAACGGCGCCGGCCACGUCCUUACGGUCAUCGAGGAAGGGAGGGAAUGUUAGUAAGACAAACGUUGUUAAAAAGACCGAGAAUCGCUGCAUCUCCACGUUUGUCUCAAGAAGGAUUUUUUUGUUAGUAGGGUAAGGUACAUUGUCAGUCUGGGAGUCACCUAUGGUUGGUGAUAUGAUUUGACAAUGGAUCAAUAAACACUAACUUUCGCGCACAAUUGACCACUUUUCUUUAAGAAACAUAUCUAAUAAAAGAAAUCCUGUCGCGCGUCUCCACCCCAUCAGGGAGCAGAAACUUUAAGCCCAUUCCACACAGGAAUAAACUGAACGCAACGGAGGACAUCAAUAAACCAAACCAUAUGCAUAAACAACAUGGAACAACCAAUACUAAACACCCGCACAUCUAUUGUUUUCGUUUUCGCACUAGACAAUUACGAACGCGAACGAUUAUGCUACGAUAUCACCCCAUACAGGAGCGAUGCAUGCACAGCAAAGAACAACGCGAUACUCUCGACCAUUUUUCCUCACUUAAACAAUCCAAAAAGAAAAUCUUAACGCGCUAUUGUUCGCUUUACGCGGAAAGCAAAUAAUGUAUCGUCCAUGUCAGAUGACUGGUCAAUGUUUCUUCUCAAAACGUAAUCUAAACUGCAAAAAAAGUCAGCGCCGUUACUUGAAAUGACGGACUAUACAAAAUGUGCUUUAGAGAACUAUCAUACUCAUGUUAUUUUACAACGAACAUUCACUUUGAAUUUAUAUAUGGUAUGUGGGGGCAAGAUGGGUCAGUACCGUUUUCAAUCGCACAAUAUAUGUUUUGAAUCUUUCAAUAAUUUUCCCAGAUGAACGACGGGGAUACACAAAAAAGUGGUAUAUUGUUUUGAAAAUUCUAUACGUUCCUCGCACAGAAAAAAAACAAAAUAUUUUUUCGUUAUACUCCUUAUGCUAUACAUUCCAUAGAACUACGUGUAUUGUGUAGACGGGGCAAGAUGGGUCACCCUUAUUUUUCGGUAUGUUUGCAUAGUUUUUGAAAAUGUUAUAUUUUUCAUGGAAAGGCUAUUCUGUGACCUACAUUAUCGAAGCGAUGAGAGCACUGAAAAUUUGAGAACAUAUUUUUUUAAAUUUUCCUUCAAAAAAUAUAGGUUUUCAAAGUCCGUUUAUAGCUACCCGAACAAAAAUCUUCUAGUUCUGAGAAUAAUCUACCGAUAUGUUUCAACACUUUCUUCAUGUAAUCUGUACGUCUAUAAAGCUUAGAUGUAUAAAGAAAAACUAGAAGAUAUAGUAUUUUUUGUUGGAGGAAAAUCGAGUUUUCUUAUAGCUGACCCAUCUUGCCCCCGUUAAAAUGAGGUGGGGCAAGAUGGGGCAUGUUUUGAAAAUUGUUGGUCAAGAAGCAGGUUUCAAACUUUAUUACCUUUUUAUACUCUUAUAUCAUAGCUGACUAGUGUAUCUGAGAGUCGUGGUAGAAUACAGAGAAAUGCGAUUUAUAUUCAGAAAAUUAUAGGGAUCCAUUUCUUAGGUGACCCAUCCUGCCCCCACUUACCAUA